AAAAAGGGCAUUCGGCGCUACUGCCGUGCGUCGCGUUAUGCGCGGCGUACAGAAUCGCUAUCAAGAGAUUCUGAAUGUAUAAUUUUUUUAACUGGGGCAGUUGGUUGCCGUUUGCACCGGCGCCCCU
rnacentral:snRNA from 1 species